rfam:Myotis lucifugus cont2.7855, whole genome shotgun sequence.
CGUGGUUCUCAGGUGAUGCACCCCGGAAUUGGGCUCUCUCCUCUCUGGUUCCGGGGUGUGUCACCCAAGAACCGCC